rnacentral:rRNA from 1 species
UACGUAGGGGGCAAGCGUUGUCCGGAAUCAUUGGGCGUAAAGCGCGUGUAGGCGGCCCGAUAAGUCCGCUGUGAAAGUCCAGGGCUCAACCCUGGAAUGCCGGUGGAUACUGUCGGGCUCGAGUCCGGAAGAGGCGAGUGGAAUUCCUGGUGUAGCGGUGAAUGACGCAGAGUAUACAGGAGGAACACCAAUGGCGAAGGCAGCUCGCUGGGACGGUACUGACGCUGAGACGCGAAGCGUGGGAGCAAACAGGAUUAG